AGCAGCCGCGGUAAUUCCAGCUCCAAUAGCGUAUAUUAAAGUUGCUGCAGUUAAAAAGCUCGUAGUUGAAUUUCGGGAUCAAUAUGUUGGUCAUGCCUCGGUACGUACUAGCUUAUUGGUUUCUUUCUUCUGACGAACCAUAAUGUCAUUUAUUUGGUGUUAUGGGAAUCAGGACUGUUACUUUGAAAAAUUAGAGUGUUUAAAGCAGGCUCACGCUUGAAUACAUUAGCAUGGAAUAAUGAAAUAGGACGUUUGAUUCUAUUUUGUUGGUUUCUAGGAUUGACGUAAUGAUUAAUA
rnacentral:rRNA from 1 species